CAGCCGCCGCGGUAAUACGAGGGGGGCAAGCGUUGUUCGGAUUUAUUGGGCGUAAAGGGCGCGUAGGCGGUUUGGCAAGUCUUGUGUGAAAUCUUCGGGCUCAACCCGAAGCCUGCACGAGAAACUACCGGGCUUGAGUAUUGGAGAGGUGAGUGGAAUUUCCGGUGUAGCGGUGAAAUGCGUAGAUAUCGGAAGGAACACCUGUGGCGAAAGCGGCUCACUGGACAAUAACUGACGCUGAUGCACGAAAGCUAGGGGAGCAAACAGGAUUAGAUACCCCGGUAGUCCCUGUCUCUUAUAC
rnacentral:rRNA from 1 species